CCUACGUGGGGCUGCAGUGGGGAAUAUUGCACAAUGGCGGAAACCCUGAUGCAGCGACGCCGCGUGAGUGAAGAAGUAAUUCGUUACGUAAAGCUCUAUCAGCAGGGAAGAAAAUGACGGUACCUGAUUAAGAAGCCCCGGCUAACUACGUGCCAGCAGCCGCGGGAAUACGUAGGGGGCAAGCGUUAUCCGGAUUUACUGGGUGGAAAGGGAGCGGAGACGGCGCGCCAAGUCUGGAGUGAAAUGCCGCAGCUUAACUGCGGAACUGCUUUGGAAACUGGCGAACUAGAGUGCGGGAGGGGUAAGCGGAAUUCCUAGUGUAGCGGUGAAAUGCGUAGAUAUUAGGAGGAACACCAGUGGCGAAGGCGGCUUACUGGACCGUAACUGACGUUGAGGCUCGAAAGCGUGGGGAGCAAACAGGAUUAGAUACCCGUGUAGUC
rnacentral:rRNA from 1 species